rnacentral:rRNA from 1 species
AGUGGCGGACGGGUGAGUAACGCGUGAGAAUCUGCCUUCAGGAGGGGGACAACAGUUGGAAACGGCUGCUAAUACCCCGUAAGUCUACGGAUAAAACGGUUAAUUCCGCCUGAAGAUGAGCUCGCGUCGGAUUAGCUAGUUGGUGGGGUAAAGGCUUACCAAGGCGACGAUCCGUAGCUGGUCUGAGAGGAUGAUCAGCCACACUGGGACUGAGACACGGCCCAGACUCCUACGGGAGGCAGCAGUGGGGAAUUUUCCGCAAUGGGCGAAAGCCUGACGGAGCAACGCCGCGUGCGGGAGGACGGCCUGUGGGUUGUAAACCGCUUUUCUCAGGGAAGAAGAUCUGACGGUACCUGAGGAAUCAGCAUCGGCUAACUCCGUGCCAGCAGCCGCGGUAAUACGGAGGAUGCAAGCGUUAUCCGGAUUUAUUGGGCGUAAAGCGUCCGCAGGCGGCUAAUCAAGUCUGCUGUUAAAGGCCGAGGCUUAACUUCGGUUGAGCAGUGGAAACUGAUUAGCUAGAGUGCGAUAGGGGUAGAGGGAAUUCCCAGUGUAGCGGUGAAAUGCGUAGAUAUUGGGAAGAACACCAGUGGCGAAGGCGCUCUACUGGGUCGCAACUGACGCUGAGGGACGAAAGCUAGGGGAGCGAAAGGGAUUAGAUACCCC